UAUUUCUAUUUUUUGAAAUGAGGUAACUGUGGCUCAGAGAGGUUAAAGUAACUUGUCCAAGAGAGGUGAAAGUAACUUCCCAGUUAGGAAGUAUAGGAGGCAGGAUUCAAACCCACACAGUCUGGCUCUAAAAUUGUGCUCAGUAUUCCCCAGUUGUGCUGGGUAGUCUCCUGCUUCCAUACCUUUGUGCUUUCUGUGCUCUUCUUGGGCAUUUCUUCCCCCAGUUUCCCACAUGGCUUUGCUCACUCAUCACCUUCAAGGCUUUGACAAAUCUUACCUCUUGUGUGAGAUCUUUUUAUACUAUCUCAUUUAAAAUUACAAGCAGCAAUGGUUGAUCUACAGUGUCAUCAGGGAAAGAGGAUCUGCCUUUAUGUUCCAUUAUUCUUGUGUGUGCCUUCCCCAUCCUUGAGGUCUAGGAUGACUUGUGGAGUGCAGACAUCGCAUCCGUGUUCUAGAGAGCAGAAGGAGAGAAGGGGAUACCUACCAACUGAAUCUCACUUAAGACUCUCUCUUCUUGCUGCCAGAACUUAAUAUGCCCAAUGGCCAUACUAAAUUGCAUAGGGGCCUAGAAAAUGUAGCAUUUAUUAAUGGUGGCAAUGAGCCCAACUAAAAGUCAGGGUUGUUACUCAGGUAGAAGAAGGGAAGAGACAACCAGCAGUCUCUGCCCCACGAGAAUUCCAUCUUUAUCCAUCCUUGUACUUUACUAUCUUUGAAUAACAUUGUAAACUUUUAUAGCUUAGCUACCAAAAAUAGGUUGACGACUCCCAUCCGUGCUGCUGAAACGUAUCAGCCACCUCUGAUAUUGGAGAUCUCCAUUUAGAUGUUCCAGAGGCUUUGUGAGCUCAACAUGUUUAAAAUUAAACUUAUCUUUCAUCUUUAAUGGCUCAAGUGUGCUCCUCUUCCUGUACCGUACCUCUGUGAAUGGUGCCACCAGUUUGUAUCUCCUUCACCUCAUCCAUUCACCCAGUUACAAAUUAAUUUUGUCCACAGACAGAUGAGCAGACAAACAGAGGAGCAGAAGAGAAGCACAGUAGAGGAGAGAAGAGAAGGAGUGUUUGAACAUCAAGGGAGGUCGGCUGGGGACAGCUGGAGAGGAGAUCAGCCAUGGGACAGCCAAACUCCAGGGGAAGAUCAUCUUCCCACUCCAUCCCCUUUCCAGCUCCCCAUCCAUCUCACUGAGAGCCACCUCCAUCACCUAAUAAAAUUCCCACUUUCACCAUCCUUCAAGUCUGUGUGUGACCUGAUUCUUCCUGGACACAGGACAAGAAACCAGGUACGAAGAGGGCACUGAGCUGGUUAAUACUUAAUCUGUGGAUGGCAGAGCUAAAAGAGCACUGUAGCACACCCACUGGGGCUUCAGGAGUUGCAGCCACCUACUCCUAGAUGCUGCUGUGGGGCUGGAACCCAAAGGCGCUCUUCCCAGCUCCUACACCUGCCGGUCUGCGAGCUCCCCCUCCUAUAAGGGGUUUGAGAGUGCAGCAGCUGAACAGAACAGAAGAGCCACACCCCUGUCGCAUUCUCUGCCCUUCGUGGGGGGUCAGGGGACUCUCACGUUUCAACUUGCCCUUAGUUGCAGGGUGAGGGUCAGUAAAUGUUAAUGGAGAACUAAGCUGAAAAGGAAUUUGACUAGCAGACAAGGCAAGAGAGAAUAUUCCAGCAUGUGCAAGGAUACAAAGUCAUAUACUGCAUAUUGUAUUCAAAGUACCAAAAAUAGUUUACUGUUAUUAGUAGUACAUAAGGUACAAAGGAGAAAAUUAAACUGGAGGGUUAGACAACUCUCGGAUCCUAAGGAAUUUAUAGUUUUUGCUGAAGCAGUGAGAAGCGACUGAGGUUGUUGAAAAAGAGUCAAAGUGUAGAUACUGGAAUUCACUGUUGGUCAUUUCCAAAGAGAAUUUUGGUCCUUCCUAGUGCCCAGAACAUAAUCUCUUUAUCUGGCAAAGAGAAUGUAGUCUUCUGUCUUCCUUUUCCCAAAGAAGGUUACGAUUAUUUUAUGAAGAUUGUAAUUUCUAGUAAUGAUAAUGGAAUAAAGAAGGAGUGAAAUGGC